rnacentral:lncRNA from 1 species
GCUAAAGUUAGUUUACCGCAAUGUCUGAUCCUAACUUACAGUCUAACCAUAAUCAUCAAAGCUAAAGGUCUUCAGUGCACCCUGGUACUCUGUACUCCUGAAAACUGAAUUUCAUGUCAAGAGUUACCGGUCAUUUACACGACAGGACACAUUAUACGAAUAAGGCACUGUCAGCGCAGCACUUGCGCGCGUAUUGUUGUCAUUUGAAUCAUAUGGGGUUUCGGAUGGGGGCCUUCCGAAUGCAAUAAAUGCACCCAGGCCCUGAGGUCCCAGGGCACAGUUCUGCUCUGUUGGCCCUACCAACGGCACGCCGCACGCGGGUUUCAGCAGCUUCGAUGCAUGAAAACAAUUCCAGAGCCAAGCUGAC